rnacentral:rRNA from 1 species
AUGGCAACAGCAGGGUGGUCGUCACGGGCGGCGGCGACGGCGACGGAGACUCGGGUCGGUGCCUGCGGCGAGGUGACCAUCACGAUGAAGGAGCCCGACCAUCACAGCCCGUGCUCCGUGCGCGUACACGGCCAGGUGAUCGUGUCCCACGAGCCGCUCAGGAUUGGGGACAUCAGACCGAGGAGGGGCCGGUUCCAGCCCGAGCAGGACCUCCACCUCGAGGACUUGGACCACCGGGUGGAGGUCGCCGACCCUGCACUCUUCCGGAGCUACGUGGCCUGCCGCGACCUCAUCCACCGCGUGCUCGCCGACGCGCCAAUGACCGGCGAGUACGACCUCGCCGCCGACAACUGGGAGGACUUCCUGCCCCAUGGCAUCGCCACCACCAUCGUCGCAACCGUCCGCCGUGAUGUCGAAGAUGGUUGUGGAGUCGUCCCGGUCUACGCCUUCGACGUGGAGCUGAUCCUCUCGGUCAGGCUGAUCCACAGCGAGCCCAAGGCGCUGCUGCUGGCGUGCAAAGAGGCCGAUGCCGAAGUUGCCGCACAUGGCGAGCUCGGAGAGCGGUGUGCUAUUUGUAUGUCUGACGAGGGGACGAACGAUGAGGAGACCGUGAGGCUGCCGUGCUCCCACGUUUUCCACGGCCGGUGCAUCGGGCCGUGGUUCCACCGCGUGUCCACGUGCCCGACUUGCCGGACUGAUGUUAUGGACUGCUUCAGAGUUGUCGGAUCGCCGUCGACCACGUAG